CCUACGGGAGGCUGCAGUGGGGAAUAUUGGACAAUGGGGGGAACCCUGAUCCAGCGACGCCGCGUGAGUGAAGAAGUAUUUCGGUAUGUAAAGCUCUAUCAGCAGGGAAGAAAAUGACGGUACCUGACUAAGAAGCCCCGGCUAACUACGUGCCAGCAGCCGCGGUAAUACGUAGGGGGCAAGCGUUAUCCGGAUUUACUGGGUGUAAAGGGAGCGUAGACGGCAGCACAAGUCUGGAGUGAAAUGCCGGGGCUUAACCCCGGAACUGCUUUGGAAACUGUGCAGCUAGAGUGCAGGAGAGGUAAGUGGAAUUCCUAGUGUAGCGGUGAAAUGCGUAGAUAUUAGGAGGAACACCAGUGGCGAAGGCGGCUUACUGGACUGUAACUGACGUUGAGGCUCGAAAGCGUGGGGAGCAAACAGGAUUAGAUACCCCAGUAGUC
rnacentral:rRNA from 1 species